rnacentral:misc_RNA from 1 species
GAUUUUGGACUUGCAAAGUUGGGUCCUGUCGGUGAUAAGACUCAUGUCUCUACACGUGUGAUGGGAACGUAUGGUUAUUGUGCCCCUGAAUAUGCUAUGACUGGUUCAACUUACUUUAAAAUCUGAUGUCUAUAGUUUUGGAGUUGUCUUUCUUGAACUCAUCACUGGGCGCAAGGCCAUCGAUAAUACCCGGGCUCCUGGAGAGAAUAAUCUUGUUGCAUGGGCGCGGCCGCUUUUCAAGGAUCGUAGGAAGUUCCCCAA